rnacentral:rRNA from 2 species
UACGUAGGGAGCGAGCGUUGUCCGGAAUUACUGGGUGUAAAGGGAGCGUAGGCGGGAUUGCAAGUCAGAUGUGAAAACUAUGGGCUUAACCCAUAGACUGCAUUUGAAACUGUAGUUCUUGAGUGAAGUAGAGGUAAGCGGAAUUCCUAGUGUAGCGGUGAAAUGCGUAGAUAUUAGGAGGAACAUCGGUGGCGAAGGCGGCUUACUGGGCUUUUACUGACGCUGAGGCUCGAAAGCGUGGGGAGCAAACAGG